AUUCUACAAACAGCCAAAUAUGAACCUUGUCGGUCUUCUUUCCUCGUGGACAGGAAACACACCAGCGGUGUGCGCUGGGUGAUUCCAUUGUGCCUUUUGCAGUUGACCGUCUGGAUAGUUGACCGAAAUAUCACUUUGAUUCGCGUGGCCAACAGGCAAGAGUAA
rnacentral:rRNA from 1 species